GACGAACGCUGGCGGCGUGCUUAACACAUGCAAGUCGAACGGAAAGGCCCUGCUUUUGUGGGGUGCUCGAGUGGCGAACGGGUGAGUAACACGUGAGUAACCUGCCCUUGACUUUGGGAUAACUUCAGGAAACUGGGGCUAAUACCGGAUAGGAGCUCCUGCUGCCUGGUGGGGGUUGGAAAGUUUCGGCGGUGUGGGAUGGUCUCGCGGCUUAUCUGCUUGUUUGUGGGGUAGUGGCUUCCCACGGCUUUGAAGGGUAGGCGGCCUGAGAGGGUGACCGGCCACAUUGGGCCUGAGAUACGGCCCAGAAUCCUACGGGACGCAGCAGUGGGGAACAUUGCACAAUGGGCGGAAGCCUGAUGCAGCAACGCCCCGUGCGUGAUGACGGCUUUCUGGUUGUAAACCGCUUUCGCCUGUGACGAAGCGGGAGUGACGGUAAUGGGUAAAGAAGCACCGGCUAACUACGUG
rnacentral:rRNA from 1 species